rnacentral:rRNA from 1 species
GACGAACGCUGGCGGCGUGCUUAACACAUGCAAGUCGAACGGAAAGGCCCUGCUUUUGUGGGGUGCUCGAGUGGCGAACGGGUGAGUAACACGUGAGUAACCUGCCCUUGACUUUGGGAUAACUUCAGGAAACUGGGGCUAAUACCGGAUAGGAGCUCCUGCUGCAUGGUGGGGGUUGGUAAGUUUCGGCGGUUGGGUAUGGACUCGCGGCUUAUCAGCUUGUUGGUGGGGUAGUGGCUUACCAAGGCUUUGACGGGUAGCCGGCCUGAGAGGGUGACCGGCCACAUUGGGACUGAGAUACGGCCCAGACUCCUACGGGAGGCAGCAGUGGGGAAUAUUGCACAAUGGGCGGAAGCCUGAUGCAGCAACGCCGCGUGCGGGAUGACGGCCUUCGGGUUGUAAACCGCUUUCGCCUGUGACGAAGCGUGAGUGACGGUAAUGGGUAAAGAAGCACCGGCUAACUACGUG